rnacentral:rRNA from 1 species
CAGCCGCCGCGGUAAUACGUAGGGUGCAAGCGUUAACCGGAAUUACUGGGCGUAAAGCGUGCGCAGGCGGUUUGUUAAGACAGAUGUGAAAUCCCCGGGCUCAACCUGGGAACUGCAUUUGUGACUGGCAGGCUAGAGUAUGGCAGAGGGGGGUGGAAUUCCGCGUGUAGCAGUGAAAUGCGUAGAUAUGCGGAGGAACACCGAUGGCGAAGGCAGCCCCCUGGGCCAAUACUGACGCUCAUGCACGAAAGCGUGGGGAGCAAACAGGAUUAGAUACCCCAGUAGUCCCUGUCUCUUAUAC